rnacentral:rRNA from 1 species
UACGUAGGCAGCGAGCGUUGUUCGGAGUUACUGGGCGUAAAGGGUGUGUAGGCGGUCCUCUAAGUUUGGUGUGAAAUCUCCCGGCUCAACCGGGAGGGUGCGCCGAAAACUGGGGGCUAGAGUGCGGGAUGGGUAAGUGGAAUUCCUGGUGUAGCGGUGAAAUGCGUAGAUAUCAGGAGGAACACCUGUGGUGUAGACGGCUUACUGGACCGCAACUGACGCUGAGACACGAAAAGCGUGGGGAGCAAACAGG